AAAAAUGAUAUAUUAGCCUCAUAAUAGAGUUAGUGACUCUAUAUUACUGGAGUUGAGAGUUCUCAUUUCCUGAAUAGGUACUUUGAGUUUAGAUUUCUUAAUGAUUAUGGAGAUUAUCCUGUUUGAACUUUCUUCACAUUUUUAGCUUUUGGAGAAGUGUACUCUGCGUGGGGAUAGUGUAAACACCACGUAGUAUAUGUGUCAUUAAUUUUCAGGAUUCGUUCAGUGUGUGUGAGGAUACCAAUGUUCAACCAUUAUUAUAGUUUAGGUUUAGCUAUAAUUUAAAUUUUAUUAGCAUGUAUAAAAUAAAUUAUAAUUAAAAGUUACCGUUCUGAAAUGUUAAAUGGCGGCUGACGAAGGAGGUGAGCUGUCACACACUGGUGUGCUUCUUAACCCUGUCACUAAUUGAACAUAUAUUAACAGCUUUCUAGAGCUGUAAGGUCUGAAGGGAUGGUGGUGGACCCUCAUCCUGGUACCACUGAGCCGGGAGACAAAUGGUGCUUGGACACCUUGUAGUCCUGGGGGACUAAGUCACACCUGCUUUAGUUUGCCUUGCUACCUACCCUGUUUCUAAAGAGAAGGUGUGAAAUCAGUUAUCCCGUACAGUAUCUUUGUAUUUCCCAUUCAUUUGUUCUUUUUCAUGUAGCAGAAAAAGCACCUUGAACCAGAAGACGCCAUAGUUCAAUAUUAUGGUCUGUGUUCACAAUUAAUAUGUUUAUUCACAAGUUGAUAUGCUUUAUUGCUGCUAUACUGGUCUUUCUAUCUUCAGUCUGUGCUAAACUUAUAAUAGUAUUACUUUCAUUUAGUCCAUAAUUAGGAUUAUAAAACAGGAGAAUUUUUAACCAUCCCCUUUGUUCUUUCCAGAGUCAUCAUCAGGAACAUAAUAUAAACCAGAGAGCAUGAGGCUUGAAUAAAAUCUUCACUGACCCUAGAUAGUAUUUGGGCAGUCACUUGUAACUUAUGGCUUGUUAAUUUUAUACCAGUGACAUGAUUUGAAAGAGUAAGUAACAAUCCGCACUCAUAAAAAGAAAAAAGAAAAACAAAAGAAAUGUUUAGGGCAGACUUACUCAAUAAAACAACACUUGAGAUGGGGGUACGUGUUGAAACUCCUAGGAGAGGGAUCACUCAGGAGACGGACAAAACACGGAAGGUUUUCAUGGGAUCGGAUACAUUAGGCUCCCUCCCCUAUGCAAGGAUGGAUGCUUCGACACUGUUGGGAUUUAAACGUUGCUGUGUGUGUAUCUCUGUCUGUGUCUGGAGAAUGACUCUGUGGUUAAGAGCACCUAUUGCUCUUGCAGAGAACUUUGGUUUGGUUCCCAGCACCCUCGUGGUGGCUCACAACCAUCCCUAAUCUACUUGCAGGGCAUCCGGUGCCUUUUUCUGACCCGUGGUUACUGUAUGCAUGCGGUGCAGACAAAAUACCCAUACAUAUAAAGAUAAAAUGAAUCGAAAACUUACUUUAUAAGUUGUUGUGUCCAUGCUAAGGAAACAAGGAAUUUGGAAUGAUUAUCUCUUAGACCCUGCCAAGAGUCACUGUAAGGCAUCGCCUCCCUGAAGCAGAGCAGAGGUAACAUAGAGCAUAGUUCAGGUCUUUACAAGUCUGUUGGCUCCCCAGCUGAGUGGACAUUUAAAUACUCAGAGCUUAUUUCUGACUGACAGUUUAAUUAUGUGCUGAGUAAAUGGAAUAUUUUAAUAUUAUGUAAAUUAUACGCAAAUUUAAACUGAUGAUGCAAAAACCCUACUUUUUUCUUAGGGUGUUAAGGUGAAAAGACAAGAGUGGUCAAAGACACAUUGGUUUUGGGUCACUAUAAUGGCAUCCUUUGAUAUUGCCUUAGACAGUGAGGAUUGAAUAUGGCAGUUGACAUUCAUCAGAUUCCAUGUUUAUGCCCAUUUAGCAUAAAAAAAUUAGUACCCUUUAACAAAGGGAAGGUGGUGGAUCUGACUUGCAGCUCAGCUGGUGGAGACUGUACCUGGUUUGAUCCCUGCAUCGCAAUGGUACAUACCUAUUAUCUCAACACUAAAAAGCUAGAGGCAGGAGGAUCACAAGUUUUAGGUCACCUAGCUAGAGAAGUUGUUUCUUAAAUAAUGUAUACAGAACCCUAAAUAUGUUUAAAAAAUCAUGUCUUAGAUCAGCUUAAGGUUCAUAGCAAAUUGAGCAGAUAGAUAUUUCUCAUUCAGCUUACCUGUGUGUAUACUGCUGCCUCCCCGCUUCAGUUAGUGAGGAAGACCUGCUACUCCAAAGAUUUAUAUUGAGAAAUUACCAUUGCUGAAGGUCAUCAUGUAAGGCUGUAAAUGUCUCUUAUCAUGUCCUGCGAAACACUGCAUAGUUGAAAUGUUAGAGACGGUGGUUCAGUGCCUUCAUACUGGUUUGUCAUGAGAACAGAAGUUAUCAUUUUUUCUUGUAAUUAACAAUCUAUCUCAUUAGCAAACUGAAAGGAAACUAUUUCAGUUUUUAUUUCAUAAUAAUUAUACAAUACCUUAUGGUCUUAUUUUUAACCACUGUUAACCUUAACCCACUGACUUGUAGAAUUACCCAGGGUUAUCAUGGUUAUGGCUUGAAACGAAAUACAAGUCUGGAAAUUGAGGCU
rnacentral:lncRNA from 1 species